rnacentral:rRNA from 1 species
CUACGGGUCGCUCCAGCCGAGGAUCUUCUGCAAUGCGCGAAAGCGUGACAGAGCAAGCCAGAGUGUUUCUCAUAUUGAGAAACUUUUGUCAACUCUAAAAAGGUUGAUGAAUAAGGGCUGGGCAAGACUGGUGCCAGCCGCCGCGGUAAUACCAGCGGUCCGAGUCGCAGCCACAUCUAUUGGGUCUAAAACAUUCGUAGCUUGUUUUGUAAGUCUCUUGUGAAAUUCUGUAUCUCAAGUGCAGAGCUGGCAAGAGAUACUGCAGAACUAGAGACCGGAGGAUGUAAGGAGUACAGUUGGGGUAGUGGUUAAAUGCGUUAAUCCCAACUGGACUAACAACAGCGAAGGCACCUUACAACGACGGAUCUGACAGUGAGGGAUGAAGGCUAGGGGCGCAAAGCGGAUUAGAUACCCGUGUAGUC